GCCAGGCAUUGUGGCGGGUGCCUGUGGUCCCAGCUACUUGGGAGGCUGAGGCAGGAGACUCACUUGAGCUCAGGAGUUGGAGGUUGCUGUGAGCUGUGGUGCCAUGCCAUGGCACUCUGCCCAGGGGGAUAGCUUGAGGCUCUGUCUCAAAAAAAAAGAUGAUCUAGCUUUUUAUUUAUUUAUUUAUUUAAAAAUAGAGUCUCACUUUGUUGCCCUUGGUAGAGUGCCAUGGCAUCACAGCGCACAGCAAUCUCUAGCUCUUGGGCUUAGGCGAUUCUCUUGCC
rnacentral:sRNA from 1 species